rnacentral:rRNA from 1 species
UACGUAGGGAGCAAGCGUUGUCCGGAAUCAUUGGGCGUAAAGCGCGCGUAGGUGGCUUCGUAAGUCCGUUGUGAAAGUCAAAGGCUCAACCUUUGAAAGCCGAUGGAUACUGUGAAGCUAGAGUACGGAAGAGGCGAGUGGAAUUCCUGGUGUAGCGGUGGAAUGCGCAGAUAUCAGGAGGAACACCAAUAGCGAAGGCAGCUCGCUGGGACGUUACUGACACUGAGGCGCGAAAGCGUGGGGAGCGAACAGGAUAGAUACCCCGGUA